rnacentral:rRNA from 1 species
ACGGGUAGCCGGCCUGAGAGGGCGACCGGCCACACUGGGACUGAGACACGGCCCAGACUCCUACGGGAGGCAGCAGUGGGGAAUAUUGCACAAUGGGCGAAAGCCUGAUGCAGCGACGCCGCGUGAGGGAUGACGGCCUUCGGGUUGUAAACCUCUUUCAGCAGGGAAGAAGCGAAAGUGACGGUACCUGCAGAAAAAGCGCCGGCUAACUACGUGCCAGCAGCCGCGGUAAUACGUAGGGCGCAAGCGUUGUCCGGAAUUAUUGGGCGUAAAGAGCUCGUAGGCGGCUUGUCACGUCGGGUGUGAAAGCCCGGGGCUUAACCCCGGGUCUGCAUUCGAUACGGGCUAGCUAGAGUGUGGUAGGGGAGAUCGGAAUUCCUGGUGUAGCGGUGAAAUGCGCANAUAUCAGGAGGAACACCGGUGGCGAAGGCGGAUCUCUGGGCCAUUACUGACGCUGAGGAGCGAAAGCGUGG